CAGCACCUCAAGUGGUCAGGAUGAUUAUUGGGCCUAAAGCAUCCGUAGCCGGCUCUGUAAGUUUUCGGUUAAAUCUGUAUGCUCAACAUACAGGCUGCCGGGAAUACUGCAGAGCUAGGGAGUGGGAGAGGUAGACGGUACUCGGUAGGAAGGGGUAAGAUCCUUUGAUCUAUUGAUGACCACCUGUGGCGAAGGCGGUCUACCAGAACACGUCCGACGGUGAGGGAUGAAAGCUGGGGGAGCAAACCGGAUUAGAGACCCGAGUAGUCC
rnacentral:rRNA from 1 species